AUGUGCUACGACCGGGGACCAACGGUGCUACAACCGGUGGAGCUGCAAACAUUUUUUUGGAAGGUGGAGCUGCUGGACGGUGCUUCCUACAACAGCAAUGGCGACGGAUCAGGUACCAGUACAGCCACGACCUCCACUUUUUUUGCUGUGCUUCCAUGGGCGUGGGAAGGGAAGCUUCGCUGGGAGAAUCGUUUCCGAUGGGGGAAGAAGAUAAGGCCUGAACGGUUGGAUCGGGCCAAGCCGACGACGAGCUGCGGCCGUCGCCACCGCAGCUGUUGCAUGCGUGGUGUUGGCCAAAAAUGCAGGCGACGAGUGCGGCGACCGGCGACGAGGAUGGCCGGCGAGGGCGAUAACCGGCGACGAGGAGGGCCGGCAACCAUGGCGACCAGCAAGAGCGUGCGGCCAGCCAGAUGCGGAAUCAAGCGACUAUAUGCAGAAUCCAUCGUAGGGGCGUGCGUUGACGAAACAACAGCUGUAUCGAACGGUUAUACAUGCACCAAUCGGAUGGUUGCGGGCGGCCGGUCCGCCGGCGCCUAUCACCCGCCUUCCUAUACUUCGCCCAACUCACCCUUACCCGGACGCGGGCCCCGGUCUCUCAGUCGCCACGGAAAUCAGGUCAGCUCGGCAGAUCCAGAGGAGACGGACGGCGAGCUCCCGACGGCGACCCCCGACCGGUUCCCUGUUUGCAUCCGCUCGUCGUCGUGCGCCGUGUGCCGCGGCCCGUUCGCCAAGGCCAUGUUCGAGUUCCUAAACUGCAUCCGGAUGCACCAAGGAGACAAGAAUGGCAAAAACAGUGAACUGAAGUAUGACGCCCAAUGUGGCAUGAGCAAAGGUGUGUUCGAAUGGCAAUGCCGUCAGUUUGAGAAGGUAUCUAGUCGAACACCUGAGUUGAUGCGCAAGAUGAGGGCCAAUGCACAGAAGAUGCGUGUCCACUUCAAGGACACUGAAGAUCUCAAAACGUGGGAUGCUUAUGAAAGAAAUGUUCUCUAUGCAUGUGAACAUUACCUCAAAACCUCUCUUGCAACACCUGCAGUUACCCCGAAUUCUGUUUUGUAUGAGGAUUUAAUGAAGAGAAAAGCAUAUUCGAAGACUCGUAGUGGGCUGCUAUCGAUGGGACUGAACAAGUUCAAAUACUGUACAAGGAGCUUAAGGCUAGUCGCUGCGGGUGCUGCUAUUGGACUUGCUGUUGGACUUGGCGUUGGCUGGAAGCAACAGAAGAUUAAGUAG
rnacentral:rRNA from 1 species